GACGAACGCUGGCGGCGUGCCUAAUACAUGCAAGUCGAACGCUGAAGGAGGAGCUUGCUUCUCUGGAUGAGUUGCGAACGGGUGAGUAACGCGUAGGUAACCUGCCUGGUAGCGGGGGAUAACUAUUGGAAACGAUAGCUAAUACCGCAUAAGAGUAGAUGUUGCAUGACAUUUACUUAAAAGGUGCAAUUGCAUCACUACCAGAUGGACCUGCGUUGUAUUAGCUAGUUGGUGAGGUAACGGCUCACCAAGGCAACGAUACAUAGCCGACCUGAGAGGGUGAUCGGCCACACUGGGACUGAGACACGGCCCAGACUCCUACGGGAGGCAGCAGUAGGGAAUCUUCGGCAAUGGACGGAAGUCUGACCGAGCAACGCCGCGUGAGUGAAGAAGGGUUUCGGAUCGUAAAGCUCUGUUGUAAGAGAAGAACGAGUGUGAGAGUGGAAAGUUCACACUGUGACGGUAGCUUACCAGAAAGGGACGGCUAACUACGUG
rnacentral:rRNA from 1 species